GGGAGAACCGGGAACGGGAGAACCGGGAGUGAGUGGAUAGCAGGGAACGGGAGAACCGGGCCCAGGGGCAGCGGGAACAGGAGAACCGGGCCAGGGUGGCCCUGAGUGAUGAACAGACAGCGAGGCCCGUGCCUCCGGAGACCGGCAAAGGCCCGGGGCAGAAGGAACCCACGGGGCAGAGGGAGCCCCCGGGGCAGAAGGAAUUAAAUGAAUCACAGGGCUGGAGAACUACCUGCUCUGACCAUCCCAGGCUCCUCACCCGUUUUCCCCACACUGGGCCUUUUAAUAUUUUUAAUUUCCCAUUGCUUGCAUUGAAUUCAUGCCACCUUUGGAGUCCCAAGGAUAGGAAGUACUGGCAGAUGGGAACCACAUUAACACCGGGUCCUUGGGAAUGCUGGGUGUGUGCCAGAAGCAAAGGGGGAACCAGGAAGUUCUGUGCCGGUCCGCUUCUCCCAUUCUUUAUUCAUUUGCAUAUAGUGAUUAAUCAAGGCAAUCCUGCCACAUUUUCCAACAUCCUUCUUACAGGGAUCUUUCUUCUAAAUCCUCCCCCCCAGCUCUUUAUUUGGUGUUCCACAAAUACAAAUAAAUACGCACAGUGGGAGAACACACAGGGAUGUAUCCAGCACCAAA